GAAGAUUUUAUUGACCUCAUGUGAUUUGCAAACUCAAGCUUGAUUGAUUGUAUAUCGAUGGCAGGUCGAUUUGGAACUAAGAGAGAGAAGUGGCUGUGAUUUUGAAUGUGCCGAGAGGUGGCGUUGUCCAUUAGAAGCUUGCAAAGCUUAAGAAGCAAGUAGCCUAAGUUGAGAACAAGUGCACCACUUAUCAAUACUUC